UUGUGCAAAAAAACGACAUCGAGAUUUUUGAAAUGAAAACAAUUUACGUGUUAAUUACAACAAAAACUUUAUCUGUAUAGAUUUUUGAAAAAUCCAGAUAAUUAUCCAGAUUUUACUUUCUCUCGAUAGAAAACAGUACUGCCAAGGUACAUUACACUUAUUAAAUGUCAGAUUCCAAUAAACGACAGCUGCAGUUGACAGAUAUAUGACAAAAAAAAAUUUAAUAUUUAAAAUUGAAUUCAAUUAGGAAUAACAAACAACACAAAUCAAUGAUUCACGUGUUUGCAAGAGUGCGAUAUCUUCCCCAAAAUUAAAGAGAAAAACCUGAAAAGGAGAUGGAAAGAAUUAUUUCACAAAAGAAGAAUUCUGUGUACUGUGCGCUUGGGUCUUAAUCGUGUCGGUACCUUCAACCCUCACAGCCAAAAUGUAAUGUAAAAUGCUCUUGGAAUGCCCGCUCGUUUGCGAAAACGUCUAUUCUUAGACGAUCAACAUGAAUAAAUGAUAACAAAGCUCUUGUUGUUAAUAAAUUGCCUCAUUAGAAUGCCCACCACAAAAACAGUCUCUUACAUUUUUAAAAUGAUACACGUCAUGUAUGUGCGCUGCAAAGAAAAGCAAAUACAAACAUACCUCCCGAAAAAUAUUCCCCCAGGAAACACUUUUCAGCCCAAACAGCAGACAGCAACAAGCAAGACAAUCCUAACAUUGCAUUAUGCAGCUCAUUCAACACCCAAAAAUCCUUCAGCUCCCGUUGAUGAAAAACCAUUUUAUAAGAGAUCGCUUCACUGCGUUCAAACUUGGACGACAUGUGCAUGAUAAGUGAAGUGUGGAAACAAAUGGCAUGUUGAAAGUGGUAAUUGUUUCAGAGCAUCAUUUAGCUCCCCAAUUGGUUGCAGGUAAUAUUUUUAUUGAUUCUCCUUUUUUGGUUCGAUAUAUUCCUUAUGUACU